GACGAACGCUGGCGGCGUGCCUAACACAUGCAAGUCGAACGGAACUGUUUUGACAGAUUUCUUCGGAAUGCAUUUGAUUUCGUUUAGUGGCGGACGGGUGAGUAACGCGUGAGUAACCUGCCUUCAAGAGGGGAAUAACAUUCUGAAAAGAAUGCUAAUACCGCAUGACAUAUCGGAACCACAUGGUUUUGAUUUCAAAGAUUUUAUCGCUUGAAGAUGGACUCCCGUCCGAUUAGUUAGUUGGUGAGGUAACGGCUCACCAAGACCGCGAUCGGUAGCCGGACUGGGGAGUUGGACGGGCAAAUUGGGAAUGGGGAACGGCCCAGACUUCUUCGGGGAGGAGGAGGGGGGGAUAAUGCGAAAUGGGGGCAACGCUGAAGCAGCAAAGGCGGGGGAAGGAAGAAGGGUUUCGGAUUGGAAACGCCUUUUAUUAAGGAAGAAAAAUGACGGUACUUAAUGAAUAAGCUCCGGCUAACUACGUG
rnacentral:rRNA from 1 species